UACGGGGGGGGCAAGCGUUGUUCGGAAUUACUGGGCGUAAAGGGCUCGUAGGCGGCCAACUAAGUCAGACGUGAAAUCCCUCGGCUUAACCGGGGAACUGCGUCUGAUACUGGAUGGCUUGAGGUUGGGAGAGGGAUGCGGAAUUCCAGGUGUAGCGGUGAAAUGCGUAGAUAUCUGGAGGAACACCGGUGGCGAAGGCGGCAUCCUGGACCAAUUCUGACGCUGAGGAGCGAAAGCCAGGGGAACAAACGGG
rnacentral:rRNA from 1 species